rnacentral:tRNA from 1 species
ACCUGGCUGGCUCAAUUGGUAGAGUAUGCAGCUCUUGAUCUCAGGGUCAUGAGUUUGAGCCUCAUGUUGGGUG